rnacentral:rRNA from 1 species
UACGUAGGUGGCAAGCGUUGUCCGGAUUUACUGGGCGUAAAGAGCGCGCAGGCGGUCGUUCAAGUCGCGUGUGAAAGCCCCCGGCUCAACUGGGGAGGGUCACGCGAUACUGAUCGACUCGAAGGCAGGAGAGGGAAGUGGAAUUCCCGGUGUAGUGGUGAAAUGCGUAGAUAUCGGGAGGAACACCAGUGGCGAAGGCGGCGACCUGGGUAGAUACUGACGCUGAGGUGCGAAAGCGUGGGGAGCAAACAGG